AACCCUUAAGGAAAGCCGUCUGCACAGAAG
rnacentral:piRNA from 1 species